rnacentral:rRNA from 1 species
GACGAACGCUGGCGGCGUGCUUAACACAUGCAAGUCGAACGGAAAGGCCCUGAUUUUUUGGGGUUCUCGAGUGGCGAACGCGUGAGUAACACGAGAGUAACCUGCCCUUGACUUUGGGGUAACUUCAGGAAACUAGGGCUAAUACCGGAUAGGAGCUCCUCCUGCAUUGUGGGGGUUGGAAAUUUUCGGCUGGUGGGGAUGGACUAGCGGGUUAUCGGCUUGUUGGUGGGGUAGUGGCUUGCCAAGGCAUUGACGGGUAGCCGGCCUGAGAGGGUGACCGGGGACCUGAGGACUGAGAUACGGACCAGAGUCCACCGGUGGGCCGCGGUGGGGCGCCUUGCCCCGUGGGCGGAAGCCUGAUGCAGCAGCGCCGCGUGUGGGAAGCCGGCCUUUUGGUUGUAAACAGCUUUAGGCUGUGACGAAGCGUGAGUGACGGUACUCGAUAAAGAAGCACCGGCUCACUACGUG